CAGGCCCUCGCCAGUUGCAGACUUUCUUCUUAAAACUGCCAUCUGGGAAGCCCACGCCAGGCCUAUGAGACUACUGUGGAUCCCAUGGGAUCUGGAGCCCUCCUCUGCCCUCAGCCCUGCCCAGGAAAGCUACCAAGGACGGGGCUGUGCUUGUCUUGUUUGCUGUUGAAAGAGUGGUAUGAUGCUGGGCCAGUGGAGGGUGCAGCGGCCACACUGGGCAUGUUGGGAGCUCUGCUGUGCUCUGAGGGCUCGAGCAGCAGGCCUGGCCACGGCUGGCAGAAGGGCAGAGCAUGCGUGGAGACAGGGAGCACCUCACUGGCCUGCAGCCUUUGCCAAGGCUACUAGUGCUGGCAGCUGCUGGGCUGGGGGGGUUCCCUGAAACGGCCCGCCAAGUGUGCACGUGUGUUUUCCUGGGGAUAACUCAGAAAGAAGGGGGGCCUGUAUCAGUCAACUUCAGAUCCCCAGGGCUGGUGGGGGCACCUGGAGAGUGUGUGUCAACAGAAAGAGAAAGUGUGUGUCUGCAGUGAGGCACCGGGACCUGGGUCAGGCGAGACAGCCUCAGGCCUGGCCUGGGAUCCCAGAGCACAGCCCCUCCCCACACACUCGGCAGGGUGGGGUGCUGACUGACUCUCAUUCAUGGCCGAUUUGAGGAUCUGCUCCCCCUGCAGGGUCUCCGAGGCAUCGCCUCCGCGGAAGAGUCCACGCGACUGGGCUGUGUCCUCAAGUCCGCUCAUCUCUGCCAUCUCCAGGUAGAUCUGCUGCUUCUCCAGGAGGCUCUGGGCGAUCAGCUGGUCUUUCUGACUUAGUCGUUCUGUGGAGGGACAUGGAGGAGGUGGUCAGCUGGGUCGGCCUCCCCUGGAUUCUGUGCCCUCGGAUCUGGGGCCAAGCAGGAGGACAGAGCCCACCUGGAGGUGCUUCCCUGCGGGAUAAACUCGAGUUACCACCCAGCAGAAAAUAGCAGUUAGCAGGAGACGAAAUUAAUGCAGAUGGUCCUCCACUCACAAUGGUUCAACUUGUAGUAGUUUGAUUUAAUAAUGAUGCGAAAGUGCUAUGUGUUCGUGGAAAUGUGUCUGAGCUUUGAUUUCUCGUGCUUUCCUGGGCUAGUCUCUUGUGAGCUGAGCAGGGGCAGUGGCCGUGAGCAGCAGCUCCUGGGCACAAGAGGAAACAACUAAGACGUGACAGUGGCCCUGUGGCCGGGCUGCGAUGUUUGGCAGCUUGAGUGUAAGCACAACGUUACUGGGAUGGGACCCCAGCGUAAGCCGAGGAGAUCUGCACUACGUUAGGUGUCAGGCCUCCUAGGGUUCAACAGGAUUCUUUCCGUCUUUCUUCUGGACAUUAAUUAAUGCUCUCAAAUUUAUUAAAAUACAUAAAGUCCUUAAAGCACCUCUCCCCACAAAAGAAAUAAAAUAUAGACUAUUAAAUUACAUGUACUUAUCGCCUAACUACCACUUAAUCAAAGAAAUAAAUAACACAGUGAGUGGGAAGGAGGAAGGGACUUGUCGAGCCCACGGGCACUAGGAGCUGCUCAGGCAGUCACCACAUCCACCUCUCACAGAAUCUGCCGCACAGGAAGGAGGACACACCAACACCGUGUGCUCCAUCCACCCUGGAGCACCCCUCCGCCACUAACAAGGAGUGAGAUUUUGACAUGUCAUGAUGUGGAUGGGGCUUGAAGACACUGUGCCUGGUGAGGGAAGCCAGGUGCGCAAGGACCUGGCUCCACUGACCCGAGAUGCCCAGAAUGGGCGUGUCCACAAAUGGGAUGGGGACUGGUGGUGGCCAGGGGCUGAAGUGACUGCUAAGGGGUGUUUUGUUUUCAGGGUGAAGAAAAUGCUCCAAAACUGAUUGCUGACCUCUGCGUGCUAGCACCUCCUUCCUGAAUGCAGACAGGCCACCCAGAGCCAACCAGUCCACCCAGCCCAUUGGGCACUGGUGAGAGAGAAUGCUGUAGCAGACCAGUAAAAGCACCUCUCAACUGUGCCAUGAGCUCACUGCGUCCCCAGACCUGCUGAAGUCCUAAAGUCUAGGACAUGACAGAACGUGGCAGUAUUUGGAGACAGAGAUUUAUCAAGUACUGUGGAUCCCACUUCAACAUGACUGUGUCUUCAGGAGAAGAGAUGAAGACACAGACAUAUAUAGAGGGAUGACCCUGUGAGAACAAGGGAAAAGACAGCAUGUACUGCCAAGGAGAGAGUUUCAGAAGGAAGCAAUCCUGUGCACACCCUCAUC